rnacentral:rRNA from 1 species
GGAUUAGAUACCCUGGUAGUCCACGCCGUAAACGAUGAUAACUAGAUGUCAGGGUCGUAAAGGCUUUGGUAUCGAAGCUAACGCGAUAAGUUAUCCGCCUGGGGAGUACGGCCGCAAGGUUGAAACUCAAAGGAAUUGACGGGGGCCCGCACAAGCGGUGGAGCAUGUGGUUUAAUUCGAUGCAACGCGAAGAACCUUACCUACCCUUGAAUCCACAGAACCUGCAGGAGACUGCGGGGUGCCUUCGGGAGCUGUGAGACAGGUGCUGCAUGGCUGUCGUCAGCUCGUGUUG